rnacentral:rRNA from 1 species
AUACGAAGGGUGCAAGCGUUACUCGGAAUUACUGGGCGUAAAGCGUGCGUAGGUGGUUGUUUAAGUCUGUCGUGAAAGCCCUGGGCUCAACCUGGGAAUGGCGAUGGAAACUGGGCGACUAGAGUGUGGCAGAGGGUAGUGGGAUUCCUGGUGUAGCAGUGAAAUGCGUAGAGAUCAGGAGGAACAUCCGUGGCGAAGGCGACUGCCUGGGCCAACACUGACACUGAGGCACGAAAGCGUGGGGAGCAAACAGGAUUAGAUACCCUGGUAGUCCACGCCCUAAACGAUGCGAACUGGAUGUUGGGUGCAAUUUGGCACGCAGUAUCGAAGCUAACGCGUUAAGUUCGCCGCCUGGGGAGUACGGUCGCAAGACUGAAACUCAAAUGAAUUGACGGGG